GUGGAAAUCUAUGUUUUGAAGUCCAUUGUGGUCACUUCUCUAUGACCUAACUUGGUUUCCAUAACAACAUUUUCUCAGGCCACAUCACAAGGUAAUCAGUUUAUCCCUCCUGUCCUAUUAGCACCUUACCGCUGUGUCAGUGGAAUGAAGCCAGUCCGUCAAGCAUGGAAUAAGAAGAUGGCCAAUGAUGAAGUAGAAAAGCCAAGCCUCUGCAGAUAACAAGUCCAUCAGCACCUUGACCAGGCACUACUCCGGCUAUUUCAAGCAUAGAAGCUUCUAAUUGACUUUCAGAGCUGUAAUGCAUGUCUGGGACUCAUGGAGAAUAUGAACAAACUCACUGCAAAGCCUUCUGGAUACUUUCUCCCAGACUUAUAGGUUUAUGUCAUCAUGCUCGGCUGAGAUAUUUUGCCUUCUUGUGUGACAAGACUCUUCCAGGGAAGGCAUCAUAUAUGUGUGGAGAGUGUGCCGCGAGCAAUCGCAUGCGUGCCGUGAGCAAUCGCCAUUAUAAGAUGGCGCUGGUUUCCACUGCGCCUAACUAGUAAACAAGCCUUAUGCGCAAAUGCAAGAGUGAACUCAUGCCUAGUCACUGCCCAUCCUGUGGCGUAGUAAUGGGGUGAUGGGCGAGCAACGAAUCAGGAGCUGUCAUGCCACAUCAGGUGCUGAAACGUCACACUGUGGGCUAUAUAAGCAGCACCAUUUUCCCAGUUCGGGGUCUUCCCUCCUGAUAAGUAAGCAAUAAAAGCUUUGCCGC
rnacentral:lncRNA from 1 species